AAUCAACGCUGGCGGCGUGCCUAACACAUGCAAGUCGAACGCGAAAGCCCCUUCGGGGGCAAGUAGAGUGGCGUCCGGGUGAGUAACACGUGGGUAAUCUACCUCCGGGUGGGAAUAACUCGCCGAAAGCGGGCUGAUACCGCAUAAUGCAGCGGCACCGAAUGGUGAUUAGUUGUUAAAGCGGAGGACCUUAGGGCCUCGCGUCUGGAGAGGAGCCCUGCGGCAGAUUAGCUUGNGGUAGGGUAAUGGCCUACCAAGGCUGCGAUCUGUAGCUGGUCUGAGAGGACGGCCAGCCACACUGGCACUGACACACGGGCCAGACUCCUACGGAGGCAGCAGUGGGAAUUUUGGGCAAUGGGCGAAAGCCUGACCCAGCAACGCCGCGUGAAGGAGG
rnacentral:rRNA from 1 species